GAUGAACGCUGGCGGCGUGCCUAAUACAUGCAAGUCGAGCGAACAGAUGAGGAGCUCGCUCCUCUGACGUUAGCGGCGGACGGGUGAGUAACACGUGGAUAACCUACCUAUAAGACUGGGAUAACUUCGGGAAACCGGAGCUAAUACCGGACAAUAUAUUGAACCGCAUGGUUCAAUAGUGAAAGACGGUUUUGCUGUCACUUAUAGAUGGAUCCGCGCCGCAUUAGCUAGUUGGUAAGGUAACGGCUUACCAAGGCAACGAUGCGUAGCCGACCUGAGAGGGUGAUCGGCCACACUGGAACUGAGACACGGUCCAGACUCCUACGGGAGGCAGCAGUAGGGAGUCUUCCGCAAUGGGCGAAAGCCUGACGGAGCAACGCCGCGUGAGUGAUGAAGGUCUUCGGAUCGUAAAACUCUGUUAUUAGGGAAGAACAAAUGUGUAAGUAACUAUGCACGUCUUGACGGUACCUAAUCAGAAAGCCACGGCUAACUACGUG
rnacentral:rRNA from 1 species